AACGAACGCUGGCGGCAGGCUUAACACAUGCAAGUCGAACGCCCCGCAAGGGGAGUGGCAGACGGGUGAGUAACGCGUGGGAAUCUACCCAAUUCUACGGAACAACUGAGGGAAACUUCAGCUAAUACCGUAUACGACCUAAGGGGGAAAGAUUUAUCGGAAUUGGAUGAGCCCGCGUUGGAUUAGCUAGUUGGUGGGGUAAUGGCCUACCAAGGCGACGAUCCAUAGCUGGUCUGGGAGGAUGAUCAGCCACACUGGGACUGAGACAAGGCCCAGACUCCGACGGGAGGCAGCAGUGGGGAAUAUUGGACAAUGGGCGAAAGCCUGAUCCAGCCAUGCCGCGUGAGUGAUGAAGGCCUUAGGGUUGUAAAGCUCUUUCAGUGGGGAAGAUAAUGACGGUACCCACAGAAGAAGCCCCGGCUAACUUCGUGCCAGCAGCCGCAGUAA
rnacentral:rRNA from 1 species